CCCAGAUACAGGGGUGCAACGGGAGCAGCGAGCGGCCGCCUCGACGCAUGCGCAGCAGCGCGCCCGCCUCCCGCCGCGGGCCGGAGGGUCCCGCAGAGCUCCGCCCCUCGGGCACCACAGAGCGGGCGGCCGCCGCCAGGAGGAGAAGCGGGCGGCUCCUGACAGCGGAGUCUUCCCGCCUAGGUGAGGAGGAGCACGGAAAAAGGAGGAGGGAGGGAGCGAGCCGCCUCCCCGCCGGAGUGUCAGGCCGGGCUCUGAAGGGAGAAGCGAGGCCCGGUGUCCGCUCCCCCCUCCCCGUCGCUCUCUGGUUGUCUUUCCCGAUCUGGGCUCUCACCUGACCGGGUCCCGGGGGAAGCGGAAGAAGGCCAGCUCUUCAGGAAGGUAUUCACACGGACUGAAUGGAUAUUGAGACAGACCAAGGGCUCAGUCAUUAAAUAUGUUCUGCUCAUAGUGAGAGAAGAAAGCACGGCCAUUCUGAAACAUAUAAAUGAUGUGAAGCAAGAGUUGUUCAAGUGCAGUAGUUCUCCUUUGCUAUGGACAUCUCUGAUAGAGUUUUAAAGACACACAGAAUCUUGACAGAUAAAUGUGGGAUUUUGGAAGUUUAAGCUGAGGAAAUGAAGCAGGCUAAGUAAAUGUCUUUUCAAAGACAUUUGAACAAAAAUUUAUGACUUUUUUGGUUUUUUUUUAAUCAUUUGUUUUCUUUUGGAUGGGCUUAAAACUUUUCCAGCUUUUUUUUUGUUUGGUGUGAGUAGGAGAAAAAUUGUCUGCUAGAUAAGGAAGCCUUAUUAUCAAGUGCCCUUCAAACUGGGAAUCUCAAAGCAUAUCUCAUUUGGACUAAUAUAAAUAGCGUGAGUUUAUGUGAUGUUAAUUCUUUUGGCUCUGCCAUUUAGCUCUAUUCAUUCUUUUUGAGUAGUUUCAGCUGAUGCUGAAGAUGUGUUUAGCUGCACCUAAUUGCUCUCAUUGUCUAGACAAUCAUCAACAUUCAUAUCCAGUGAACUCUUUAAGGGAAUUAAUCAGAUCAGAAAUAGCUUUUUUGGUUCUUAAAUACAUGAAUUUAUCUUGGAUAGAUUAGUUUUAAUUCAGGUGAAUUGGUUGUUUGAUUUGCUCUACAGAUUGCAUAAAUGCUCAUGCUGAUGUAGGGAAAUGCACAAGAGAGCAGGAUCAUUUUCAAUCACAGUAGUGGUUUAGCAGCAUGAACGUGUAAUAUUAGCUUGAAGCUUCCUAAUUUAAAGCACUUUAGAAACCUGUUUCAGUAUGAAAAAAUGCCUCUUCUCCCUUAACUAAUAAUGGCAGUGCUCGUAUAUUUUGACCAGGAUUGAAGGGCCUUUUUUUCCUUCAAAACUGAUCCAUCAAACAAGGGAAUUGCAUGUAGAUCUUAAGACUCUGAAAAGCCAAACCAGAGGACUACAAUAGUGUUAAAAAUAAAUGAACCAUGGCAUAUAUUUGUCAAUGACAACUUCUGAUCACCGUACAAGAAUGUUACAGCUUUUAUUUUAUUCUUUGUUUUUUUAACUACCUUCUGGGUUAUUCAUAUGUUGUUCAGAAUGUAUUUCCAACCUUCUCUGUAUACUGUUUACAUUGCAUAGAGAUCAUGUACUGUAUUAAUAGCGUUAUGCAGAUAAUCUGUACCAUCCAGAUAAAUUAUUAAAGGAAUUAUGUGUGUUCAUGUGGAUUUUUAAUUGCUUUAUUUCACCUCUGCUAAGGUCAGCUGAACUCUAGGACUUUAUGUAACGUGGUUGCAAAAUAAUCUCUUCAGUGUGCUUCUGAAAGUGAAUGGGAUGUCUCUUUCACUGAGUGCAGCUUAGUACAUCCUUAUUUUCUAAUAGCAUUCAAAUAUUGUGGUGUUCUACAGGUUUCCUGUUACCAAAAUUGAAAAGUUUAUUGGCAAGAGAGUAUUGGAAGUCUAAUAUCCUUUAAUGAAUUUCUGUUACGUGGUCUGUUGCAAGUCAUAUGGCCACGUUGUUGUUGGGAUAACUGUACGAACUAAAAAUAUGUCAGUUUAAUCCCAUAGGUAUCUGUGUGUAUUUGUAUCUGCAUCCCUGCUGAAACAUGAUGGAGUUUGCAAUGACAGGAUGGAAAAAGCAGUGCUCGCAUUCAGAGCUCACCUAUAGUUCUGGAGGAUUGAAAGGCAAAGGUGGGGAAUAAUGUACACUACAAGAGAGGACCUCUGCAAAUGCAUUUUGAAGUAUGCAAUGCUGGUGACCAAUGUGCAGCUUAACUGUGACUGUAAGUAAUGCUGCAUUCUGGCUCCAUCCUCGUGGUUAACUUUUUGCAAAUGAAAGUUAGUGAAAAUCUUUGAGGGUCAUCAGACCAACUCCCAUUGUGUUGUCCCUGUUUUACUGGGAUCUUUUAUUUCACAGAAAUCGUGGCUGGUUCAAAGAAUGCUGGUUUCUGCAGGUUUUGUAUCAAGUCUGCACCAUGAGAAAACAGGACAGUUGGCUUUGUGCCACUCAACUUUUAGGCAGGGGUACAAUCUGUGUCAGUCAAGGUCUGCCCAAACAACGUUAUUUAUGCACUGGCAUAGCUUUCCAAAUGACUUAUACAGAGCUAAAAACGGUCUGCCUUCUGGAUUACUGCUAUUUCACUCUGCAUAGGGUUCAGCUUUCUUAAUUAUAAGCAGUUGCUACAGUUUCUGAAAAGUUCCUCCAGCCAAAGCAGAUGAUUACAACCUCCUGUGCUGCUCUGUGGGCAGCACAUGCUAGCAGAGCUAUCUCUAGCUCUGGCAGAGAUUCACAAAGCAGCAACCUAACAAAUUCCUGUCCAUCUGCCCAUUUGGAGGCAUUCAUUUUUAGUUGGUGAUGCUAACCUUAAUUUGCAGGCCUUGUUUCCUCAAUCCACUGCCUUGAUUGUACAGUAUAUUGAUACGAGUAUUCAGAGAGAGAAAAGCCUUUCAAAAUACAGACAUUAGCUAAUCAGGCACUGCCAGAUGAAUAUUUAAUAUGUGUACAGUAAGCUACAUUCCCAUUUCGCCAUGUUCUUUUUUUUUCAAUAUCACCAUGAAGGACUUUUGUAUAUACAUUGUUUUCACUUAUAUGAUCUUCAUUUAUAUCAGCUAGAGAAUACAAGACAUGAAUAUAUAGAGCUAGAGAAUACAAGACAUCUUUUAUUUUCCCUCUGUAUGUGCCUGAGCCCAGGAGCAGCAGGAAGUCUGUGUGCUUGGUGUCUGGUCCAUGUUAAGAGAAUCCUCUUAAAAAAGUACAUGCUUUUCCCAAAAUUUCAGGGAUGACUGCACAGUGACAGAGGUGUUGCUCAUGACUCUGGUUUGCAGACACAGCACCAGCUUGCUUUUCUUUUCCAUUGGCACUUUUAUCCUGCAACAAUACGAUAAGUGUUCAGAAAAAGUAAAGACCGUGGCCAUCCAGAUGAGGAAAUACUUAGUUUCAUUGGCCAUUAGGUGUUAGAAUCUUUAAUUAUUUCUCCUAUUAUCAACAUAGCUGCUUUUGUUGUCCAAUCUCUGUAUAGUGAUCACAGCUGAUACAAUGCUGCUCCAGCGUGCAUUUUUAGUAAGUUGAAGUGUAAUGACAUCUUUGAUCCUUUUCCCAUGCUUUCUGUUUUGGGAAGUGCCUUUGCUUCCUUCGCAGUGCAUUGUUAACCAAUGUUAUACAUUACAAAGAGAAUGGAGGUAUCCAUCUGUCCCUCUGAACCGCAGAGGCCUUUGACUUUAAGCUGCUCUUUGACAUUGCUCAGAAUGACACAAUGAAGUGUUUUUUUUAAUAUUGUUUCAGGUUAUAUAAUCAAGUUUUUGCCUCCCUGUCAUGUUUAAAGCCAUGCUUAACUCCAGUGGUAUUUCCAUGCAUUACGUCUUGCUGAAUUUAGCUACUUUCAGCACUGAAUUUCUUCCUAUUUGCAAAAUAUCUACAGGUUUUGAAUAUAAUAUGCAUUACUUAAAACGGGGAAAAAAUAACUGGCAACGCAAAGCUCUCUCCAGUGAAAUAAGUUGAAAUAUUGUUGUGGAUUCGAGUACAAAUAGUUCUGAGCCCACUGUGACAAUCCCUGCUUCUGACAAGGCUGUGCAUAAAAGGCUCCCCUGGCAAGCUGCCAGCGCCUGAAUGUUGCUGAGGCUUCUGUUUCUAUCUUAGCCAGGAGGAAAAUGCGAUGGGAAAGGGUCUGAGGAGGGAAGGAGUUUAGAACUUGUCUGAGGGUAAUGGAAUAAAAUUAAAAUGGAGAUGCUUAUGUCAGGAAAAUGCAUCGAGUCACUGAGUGAUCUCUAAAGAGAAGUGGAAGCUCUGUUGGUUAGGCCAUUUAACAUGGAAACAACAGCAAUAAAAAAAGAGCAAGAAAGGAUUUAACUCUUUUUAGAAUCUGAGCUAUCUCUCUCCUAUGCAAAACAUGGAACGUAUUUUACAGCAUCUUUAAAUUCCAAAACAAUUUACAUUAUCUACAAACUUGCAUUUGCCGUAGUAUAAGAGUGUCAUGGCUUUCUUGCCUGCUGAUAAAAUAUUUUGAUUUUUCCAAUUCUACUUUUCAAAUUAUCACAAAACUCUGAAUACUGAAAAUAAACCAUUUACAGAAAAGAAGUAGCUGUGCAUGUUUUUCAUGUAGUACCAAGCUGAUGUGCCUCAAUUCUACCUUCAGAAGGCUGCUCUGAAGAAAAAGGGCAUUUCAGAGUUUGUGGCUCGGAUGAAUGCAGGUCUGUCAGCUGUGUGCCACAAUGAGAAUGGAGUUUGUAGUGGCGUGAGUGGAGAUGCAGUUAAUAAUCCAGCAAGAAGAGCAGAGAGGCUGCUGUGCUCGUUUUGUAUGAGCCCCCAAAGAGCUGCGAGGAAUGGCUUUGUUGCUGGUGACCUGGGCUGCAUACAAAUCACUUUUUCCAAGUGAAAAUCACCACUUCUCCCCUGUGCUGUGCCAUAUCACUGCUGGUGCCUUGAAACCACAGCGUGUUUUCUUCUCCCUUCCAUUAUCUUAUGAGGUACAGGGAAGUGCAGUGAGACACAGAUUGUUCUAUACGCUCCCAGAAAACUUGUAAUUCAUUAGUCCAGUGCCUGUAAUUGAUGAGAAUUGAAUUAUUAUAUCUGGUCCUAGAGAACGUGAAACAAUAUAGGGGUCCUCGAUGGUCGCUGUAUUUCUUAACCUAAGUGGGAAUGGAUUUUGCUUAAAUGCAUAUAAUUGGGCCAUUUCUUUAUAAGCCUAGCAGUAUGCUGUUAUAAAUGAUUAUGCAUGGCUUAUGUACAUCAUCCUGCUAUUUGUUUUCUAAAUUCUUUACAAAGAAUGGAGAUGGAUGCACAAGAAAGGUGAAACAACUUGCCCAGGGCUGCUCGUUGGGUUACCAACAGAUGAAAAUACUUCAGGACUAAUGAGCUUUAAUUUCAUCUGUGUCUGCUGGCUGUAAUAGAAAAGCUAACAGUAAUGCACUGUUAACACUUUUAGACCUAAGUCUUAUAGGACCUAUAGGACCAAUUUGUGAAUGACUUGUUGACAUCAGUUGAACGUUCCAUAGAUUUACUGGUUAUCAUGAGAGAGAACUGGCUGACAGCACGAUGGCAUGAGCCCUGCAUCCUUAGGAAUCAUGAUGAAACCGAGCUGCUCUCAACAAGUUUCUUUGUGCUUCUGCUUUUGGGAAAGUCAGAGUGCUCCGUAAUUUUGAGCCUCUGUAACUGAUGACUCAGUCAGAAACUGAGGAUGUAGGUAAUAAGAACUAAGAAGGUGGAAGGCAACUAAGAAUAUAUAAAAGAAAAAGCUGGCAUUUUCACAUUCUGCAUUUUCUUCUGGAACCCGCAAUGAAUCAGUCUAUUUUAUGUGAAUGCACUGAGAAAAUGUCACCCAUGGGGUAUUUAGCCAUGAUUCCUUAUUAAUGAAGUCUAAACCACUCUGUUCUUAUUUUCAUUCUUUAGCAUAUAACUGGAAUGCUCCUGACGUUCUGUUCAUCACACAUAAAGAAACGUUGUCGAGUCGUGGUCUCCCUUGGGUGGCCCGCCUGGAUUACCCUAAAUUAUCUAAGCAGGCUCCAUGCAAUCAUUCUGAGUCCAGAUGACCUCUUAUGCUUUUCAGGAUUCAUUCCUUUUGUGUAGUUUUGUUGUGUGUCUUUUUUUUUUCUUCUUUGUCUACACUAUCUCAGCCAUCCCAUUGGUACGGGUAAUUGAUGAAUUGAUGGUAGCUAAGUAGGUGGCUCUGAACAACUGUGCUGUUGUAACUACAGGCAGAAUUUGGCCUUCAGACCUUCUGGACCUUCUCCCACAUAUUUCCAAGUCUGGGUUUUCAUCCUUAAUGAAACUAAGAAGUGUUCUUGGAAAAUGACAUAGGACAUCUGCAGAAACCCAGCAGUCGCAGCUUCAGACGGUUCAUACAUAACUGCUUCAUGUUUUACAUCUCCUUUUUUCACUCUGUGUGCAGAAAGAAAUGUAGCGUAUAUGGUUUGCUUGAGCAUAUACAUAUGUGCUCAUGAGAGUGUUGGUGCGUGUCUGUCUGCUUUGCUUGUAAUAACUUGACCCUGUUGUCGAUUCUGGAAGAAAAUGUAAGAUCUUCAAAAACAAACAAACAGAUAAAAACCUAACCAAGCUCAUUACGUUUACUGAAGCUGCUGAGCCAAACUGAGAAAACAUAUUAUUCAUGCUUUCUCUGAGAAAAGGUACCAGCAUGAGCUGCAUUGUUAGCAAGUAGCAGAGAAUUCGCUGCAUGAGGACGGAGAGCAUACAUAAACAAACACAAAAAAAAACUUCAAGAAAGUAUUCAGCUAACAUCUACACCUUAUUAUAUAAAAUAUGGUUUGUUUGUUUUUUUUUUAAAUGGAGUAGUUUCUUGCUCAGGGCAUGAUUUACUUACCUCAUGCAAUAAAAAUGAUUCUCUGCUAGAGCAUCACAGUUACUGCUGAUGAAUAAAUCUCAAAAGGGCUGUAUUAUUCUGGUAAGUGGCAUUCCUACUGUGCUGCCUAGCUGAACUAAAAGUCACAUUUCAAGCUGGGUUUGCAAUGGAACCUCUGAGCUACAAAGAAAAGCUGCAACUUCGAGCACCAUCCUUGUCUACAUCCUCCUUAGCUUCCUGCAAAGCUUAGGGCAUUUGGUUUUGUUAGGGCAUGUUAUGCAAAGAUGAUGCUAUUUGCCUUCAGCUGGUUCUUGUUUAAGAAAGCACUAAAAAGAAAAGGAGAAGGAAAAUUGUUUGAGCUCUCCUGUACCGUUCAGCAUAAUCGUUUUCAAGUGCUUCAGAUUUAUGCUGCUGUGGAGAACAAUAGGAAAUUGCAUGUGAGAAAAUGUUCAUCAGCAAUCAUAAGGAAUAAACAUUUUUUCUGUAGUUAGGUGGAAACAAUAGCAUUUGCAGAUCUGGAAAUAGGCAUUGCCUUUCAAAGAGUACCAUCCCCCUUGUCUUCACCUCAAAAACCUUCCAGCUGUGUCUGCUCCUCUGCAAGCAAGCUAUAAAAUAAGAUUAUUAGGAGUUGGACUCGAUGACCCUUGUGGGUCCCUUCCAGCUUAGGAUAUUCUCUGAAUCUGUGAUUCUCUUGUUUUCUUGCUAAAAACAAAAUGCAGGCAGAAUAGAAAUUUGGGCUCAGCAGAGAGAUUGCUCAUUUCUAAGAGUAUUUUAUUAUUUUCCUACAGAAUUACCGAAGAUAACCAAGCCAGCAUUUUCCUUUUGGCUGCUGACAAGGAGAACUGCUCCUUGCACACGAGCAAGCCACCAGGACCACACCACACAUUUCCCCAGUAAAACGUCUAGACAGGAACAGAGGGAGUUUCUCCUGCUGGCAUUUCCAGCAAAAGCCUCCGCAGGCUGGAGCUUUUAAA
rnacentral:lncRNA from 1 species